rnacentral:pre_miRNA from 1 species
AAAGCACUAGAGCCUUAGGGAAUAUCUACACUAGUAAGUUCUUUUCCUUUCUUCUGGACAUGCUUAGCAGUGUAGAUACUCCCUAAGGCUUCGGUCGUAUU